CGGUGUCUGGGCGGCGGUGAUCGCGAUGACCGCCUCGGUCGCGGUCGCCCGGCCCGUACCGGGGCCGGGUUCCGCGUCCGGUCCGCCGC
rnacentral:tRNA from 1 species